ACCAGGAGGGGAUGAGUGGGAUGAUGACUUCAUGCACAUGUAGAUGCCCAUCAUGGAUGCAGAAGUUCAUGACUGAACUUUAUGGAAUGCAACUAAGUUCACCAAUGACCUUGGUUUAUUUGUUUAGAUGCCUCUUUUGAUGUAAUGAACAUGUGAGUUUACACAUACUGCACUUAAGUAUGUUGGCAUGCGGCACUUUCAGUAUGUUUUAUAGCUCCAGUGUUAUGUUCAUGUACUGUCAAAUUCUA
rnacentral:lncRNA from 1 species